rnacentral:lncRNA from 1 species
UGAGGCUGAACUUCAGCUAAACGUCUUCGGUCACUCGUGCUGGUCGCGCGGCGAUCUACGCCUCUCCGUCCUCCAAACGAAACCCUAACCCGCGCAUCCAACCUCCAUCCAUCCUCCGAGCCCCAAACUCCAAACCCUAGACCCCUCCCCCUGCCUUCGCGGCCGAUGGGCGCAGAUGAGCAGCCAUCUCCGACGCGGAAACGCGACCGCGAGGAAGGGGAGGACUCUCCGACGGGGGCGCCGCCGAGAAGCGGCCGCGCGCCGAGGUCGCGUCCCUGCUGGGCUGGCCACCUACGAGGACGAGGAGGAAGACGAAGCGGCCAGGGGUCACACGAAUGGCCGACACGCGGUGGAGCCUGAGCUAGAGGACGACGAGGAUGAUGAUGAUGAGGACGACGACGUGAGGAGGGCUCCUGAAGGAGGCCCAGACAGGUAGAGCUGCGCCGGGACUGCCCAUACCUCGACACCGUGAACAGACAGGUGUGCACUUGCAUUCAAUGUCAAUUUCGUGUGCCUUGUGCGAAUUUGCUGGCUUAAACGCCGUGUUUGCUCACAGCUCAAGAGUGACCUGAGAUAGACGAAGUACUAUUACUGUCGAAUUAUCAGUUACUGAUUGUGUUAGAGAUGUAUAUAAUCUACGCGAUUUGAAGACUGUAAUGGCUGAUUAACAUGUACCAGUAUCUUGAAAAUGAAUUCCAGUAUUAUGCGGAGUAACAUCCUAGCAGCUCCUGAUAUUUGUCUGUACUAUGCCUGUUCAUCCUGGUAGUCUCUCCAGUAUAGUAUAAUAGUUUGUUUAUAUCAAUUACAUAUGACUACACUUAGGGCCUGUUUGGGUCACCUAGGUUUAAUUGUUAGCAAUGCUUUAAAGUGAGAGGGCGAGGUGAGCGACCCCUUCCAGCCGCCUAGCGAAUAAGGUGAUUGCCUAGUCGACGCCUUACAAAUACCUUAACUAAUUAUAUAGCACCACUAAAAUUUAGAAGCAAAUCAUACCUGGAAUCUUUCACCCCUUAAUAGCACUUCCACUAUGCAUCUAAAAUAGCAAAUAUGAAAGCUCUUAACUCCCAAUAUCACUUCCACUCCACAUCUAUAUCUAUAGGAUAAAUCACAAACAGAGAAGCAGAGAAAGAACCAUGAGAGGAGGAUAGCAUCUAUAAAAAAACAGUGUUAUUAAAACUACGUUUAAACGUCAAAACUAUAAUUAGAGGUUGAAACCACGUUUUAGCGUUUUGGCGUUGUAAACUGUAAAACGCAGUGUUUUAUGCAUUUUAGACCAUUAGCUACUUUUGGGCCCAGUCUUGUAGUUACUUUUGGGGUUUAAUCCAGCUCAUGGGUGAAGUUUUGGUAAGCCACUAACCUCUCUGUAUUGGUAUUUAACUUCAUAUUAUUGUCUGAAAUUAUGAUGUAUUGGUUUUUUUCUAUGUUUUAAAACUACGUUUAAACAAAGUUUAAACGUUUAAAAGUCAAAAUUUCACCCAUGAGCGUUCCAACGUUUAUCAUUUUAAUAACUUGAAAACAAAGCACUGGGAGGAAGUCGACAAGCAAUAACAGGGCACAGGAAACCUUUGGCGUUUGAGAUGACAGGAACUCAGGGAGGGGGGGGGGGAGAGAGAGAGAGAGAGCAGAGAAAAUACUUGGGACAAUUUGGCCUGAUAGGAAGCCAGGCUGUGGCUGGGCACCAGUGAAGAACAGAGCAGAGCUUCUGGCCAACGAGGAGUCAGGACCGAGCAGCCCUCCAUUACCUUGCCCUGGGUCCAUGUGGAUGGCACGAAAUCCAAGCUGUGCGCGGCAGACAGGCGGACAGUACGAAAUCAAAGUAAUUCAUGUGCACAGAUGGGGUGUGGGUUGCGUCAGCGGCAACUCAUAGCGAGCGCACAUGGAAGAAGCAGAGCCAGCACGUGCCAUAUAUUUCCUCUCGGUCUUUCGCCUCUCCCUGGACACCUAACAAGAGAGGUGGGCAGUGGGCACCCAUACGCCCGCAAGCUUGGUGACCUGGACGCUCAGAAAUCUUUGUCGCCUGGACGACUUGGCGACGCUUUAAAACACUGAUUGUAGUCCACUAGCUGCUACAACCUACUGUUAGGUGACUAAAGUUUAGUCCUGUGCUAUUUAGGAUUUUAGAUACAUGGACUAGUAGCUAUUAGUCCACUUCAGCUCCCCUUUAAAACACUGAUUGUUAGUCCACUAGCUGCUACAACUUAUUGUUAGGUGACUAAAGUUUAGUCCCGUGCUAUUUAGAUACAUGGACUAGUAGCUAUUAGUCCACUUCAGCUCCCCUUUAAAACACUGAUUGUUUGUCCACUAGCUGCUACAACUUAUUUUUAGGUGCUAAAGUUUAGUCCUGUGCUAUUUGGAUAGAUGGACUAGUAACUAUUAGUCCACGUUAGCUCCCCUUUGCCAAUUAGUGAACUAGUUUUUAGUUGGGGUACGGACUGAAAAUCACUCCAUGCAUUAGUUCACCUGUUUGGAUGGCCUAGGACUAAAUUUUAGGUACUAAACAUUUUAGUACUGGUAUCCAAACAGGCUCUUGUUGUGUGUAUGUUAUGUAUCUACAGUCUGUAUUCUGCUGAUUUAUUUCUCCAUNNNNNNNNNNNNNNNNNNNNNNNNNNNNNNNNNNNNNNNNNNNNNNNNNNNNNNNNNNNNNNNNNNNNNNNNNNNNNNNNNNNNNNNNNNNNNNNNNNNNCCAGUCGGCUGCCUGUGAAGGCCGCGUUUAUCUACGUUUUUUUCCGCACUUUGAUUUAUUGUAAGAACUAUAUGGACGUCUCAGACGUAUGAUGUAAUCGACAUUUCCCUUUUUUAAUACUAUUUGAAGCACUGUAUGAUAUGUCAUUUAUGUAACUGCUGUGUACGUGAAUAACUGAUCCUGGCACGUACAUGGUUCGCAUUCGGUUUGCCUUCUAAAACCGGGUGUGACAAUAUCUAGAGACUCUACUAAAACACAUUAGAGAUAGAGUGUUCAUUAGAAAUUGCAAUUUUACCUAACCCUUUUACCUUGCCUUGAUUCCCAUCACCGAAUAUAAUGAAUCUUGGGAAUCCUUAUUCUUGACGUAGGAGGUGAACAUCUUCUCCCCGUCAUAUGGUUUGUGCAUCCGCUGUCAAUGAUCCAGCUUGAACCCCGGAUGCAUAAACCUGCAAGGCAAAUUUAGCUUGGGAUUAGGUGACCCAACUCUUGUUGGGUCCUACAAGGUUAGUCACAAUCGUUCUUAGGGACCCAAAUGCAAGUUUUAUCUCCCUUGCAUUUUGCCCUAAUUCCUAGCAAUCACCUUUCUUCCUUCUACAAAUUCAUGGAAGCAUUCAAAGCAUGAUAUAUUGUAGAAGGUUCAUUAAUUUUCCUAGGAACAUUAACAACAUUUCUCCUAAGCAUAUUAUGAACGACAUUUCUCCUCCAUCAUUCUAUCAUGCACAUAGAAAGAACUAGAAACAACCAUGUCAUGUGAAUCAAAAUCAUUAUUAGGAACAUGUACCUCCUAUAAGCAUUUCUAGUUUGUCUCUUGUCAUGGUACAUAAAAGCAUUGGUUCUUUUAGCACUACUUGCCAUAGGGGCCUUCCCUUUCUCCUUGGCGGAGAUGGGAGCCUUAGGCUUGUUAAGUUCUUGGCUUCCCUCUUGAAGCCAAGUCCAUCCUUAAUUGAGGUGUCUACCAAUCGUGUAGGCAUCCCUUGCAAAUUUUAGCUUAUCGAAAUCAUUCUUGCUAGUCUUAAGUUGAGCAUUAAGACUAGCCAGUUCAUCAUUAAGCUUGGAAAUUGAAACUAGGUGUUCACUACAAGCAUCAAUGUCAAAAUCUUUACACCUAGUACAAUUAUAACAUGUUCUACACAAGAAUUAGAUUUAUUUGCUACUUCUAAUUUAGCAUUAAUCAUUGUUAACACCUUGUAAAGUAGAAAAUGGUUUCAUGACAAGUAGAUAAUUCACCAGAGAGCAUUUCAUUCCUUUAAUUUCUAGAGCAAGAGAAUUUUGUGCACUAACAAAUUUAUCAUGCUCCUCAUAUAAAAGACUUCUUGUUUUUCUAGUAAUCUAUUCUUGUCAUUCAAAGCAUCAAUGAGUUCAUUUAUCUUAUCUAUCUUAGAUCUAUCUAAGCCCUUGAAUAAGCAUGAUAGUCUAUGUCAUCAUCAUCACUAGACUCAUUAUCACUAGAAGAGCAUAAGUGGGUCUCGAGUACUCACUUUCUUCUCCCUUGCCAUAAGGCAUGUGUGACGUCGUUGGGGAAGAGGGAUGACUUGUUGAAGGCAGGUGGCGGCGAGUCCUUCAUUGUCAGAGUCGGAAGGGAGCAGUCCGAGUCCCACUCCUUGCCUAGAUGCGCCUCGCCCUUUGCCUUCUUAUAUUCUUCUUCUUCUCCCUCUUGUUCCCUUGAUCCUGAUCACUAUCAUUGUCGGGACGUUAGCAAUAAAAUACCAAGCUUACCACAUUUGAAGCAUGAGCGCUUCCCCUUUGUCCUGGUCUUGCUUGGCUGCCCUUGCGGCCUUUUAGUGCCGUCUUGAAUCUCUUGAUGAUGAGGGCCAUCUCUUCAUCAUUAAGUCCGCCGCCUCAAUUUGUGCCACCUUGCUAGGUAGCAUCUCCUUGCUUCUUGUUGCCUUGAGAGCAAGAGGUUGAGGCUCAUUGAUUGGACCGUUUAGAGCGUCGUCGACGUAUCUCGCCUCCUUGAUCAUCAUGCCCGCUUACGAAUUUUCGAGUACUCCUCGGGCGUCAUUGUCGUGUACCUGGGAUUCUCACGAACAUUGUUUACGAAUGAGGAUCAAGAACGGUAAAGACCUUAGCAUUGGCGGACGACGUCGUGGUCCGUCCAUCGCUGCUUCCAUAGCUCCUUAUCUUGUUGACAAGGGUCUUGAGCGGUUGUAGUUUGGGUUGGCUCCUCCCCCUUAUCAUAGCAAAUCUCCCAAGUUCCCCUCACCAACUCCAUCUUGUGGCAUGGUGACGUCGUUGCCCUCGUGAGAGAUCUGAGGGUGUCCCAUAUCUGCUUGGCAUUGUCCAAGCCGCUCACCUUAUUGUACUCUUCCCUGCACAAAGAUGCUAAGAGGACAGUAGUAGCUUAUGAUUUCUAUGGAUUUGUUCAUUUAUAAGCGAUAGGGCUAUCCGAGCUAUCAAAUUUCAUUCCAUUCUUACAAUCUCCCAUAUGCUUGGAUGAGAAGGAAAUAAGUGACUACGCAUUUUGUGACUCCAAAAUCCGUAGUCCUCCCCAUCGAAGUGUGGAGGUUUGCCAAGAGGAAUGGAAAGCAAAUGCGAAUUCGAACUAUGUGGAAUACGAGAAUAAUCAAUAUGAAAAGUUUGAAUUGACCGUCUUCCUGUAGUCGUUGUUGUCGUCCUUUUGGGAAGAAGUAGACUCAUCGCUAUCGUCGUAGUAGACGAUCUCUUGUGCGCCUUGUCUUUCUUCUUCCAUCUUUGCGCUUGUGGCCCGACCCGAGUCAGUAGGCUUGUCAUCCUUCGGCUCGUUGAAGAAGGACUCCUUCUCCUUGUCGUUGAUCACGAUUCCCUUCCCCUUAGGUCCAUCUCUUCGGGCGAUUAGCCCUUCUUGAAGAGAACGGCUCCGAUACCAAUUGAGAGCACCUAGAGGGGGGGGUGAAUAGGUGAUCCUGUGAAACUUAAACUUAUAGCCACAAAAACUUGUUAGGUGUUAGCACAAUAGUUGCCAAGUGGCUAGAGAUGAGUCCAAACACGAUAAACAAAGAAAUCAAACACAGAGAUGACACGUGGUUAUCCCGUGGUUCGGCCAAGUACAAAACUUGCCUACUCCACGUUGUGGCGUCCCAACGGACGAGAGUUGCACUCAACUCCUCUCAAGUGAUCCAAUGAUCAACUUGAAUACCACGGUGUUCUUCUUUACUUUGAUCUUUUCCCGUUUGCGAGGAAUCUCCACAACUUGGAGUCUCUCGCCCUUACAAUUGAAUUUCACAAAGAAGUACGGAGUAAGGGAGGGAAGCAACACACACAAAUCCACAGCAAAAUGCGCACACCCACGGCCAAGAAUCGAGCUCAAAAGACUAUCCUCAAAGUUCUCACUAGAACGGAGCUCGAAUCACUGAGAAUGACAAAACGAAUGCGCAAAGACUGAGUGUGGAUGAUCAAGAAUGCUCUAAGGUUGCUUGGUGUUCUCCUCCAUUGCGCCUAGGGGUCCCUUUUAUAGCCCAAGGCAGCUAGGAGCCGUUGAGAGCAAAUCUGGAAGGCUGAUCUUGCCUUCUGUCGACUGGUGCACCGGACAGUCCGGUGCACACCGGACACUGUCCGGUGCCCGAUUUCUUUCCUUAAACGGCGCAGCCGACCGUUGGCCACCAGAGAGCCGUUGGCGCACCGGACAUGUCCGGUGCACACCGGACAGUCCGGUGCCCCCUUCUAGCCAUUGGCUCGGCCACGUGUCACGCGCAGAUCGCGCGGCCGACCGUUGGCCCGGCCGACCGUUGGCUCACCGGACAGUCCGGUGAAUUUUAGCCGUACGCCGUCGGCGAAUUCCGAGAGCGGCCACUUCACGCCGAGUCAGCCUGGCGCAGCGGACACUGUCCGGUUGCACCACCGGACAGUCCGGUGUGCCAGACUGAGCUGAGUCUUGGCUGUACACAGCCAGCCUUUUGCAUCUCUUUUCUUUUCUCCUUCUUUCUGUUUCUAACACUUAGACAAGUAUAUUAGUACACAAAACCAAGUACUAAGGCUUAGAAACAUACCUUUACUCUUGAUUUGCACUUUGUUCAUCCAUGGGCAUAAAUUCACAUUUAAGCACUUGUGUUUGCACUCAAUCACCAAAAUACUUAGAAAUGGCCCGAGGCACAUUUCCCUUUCAACCACACUCAAGGCAACCAACAAAGCUCACAAUCUUCAGGAAUGCAGCAAACCUCUUACAGGCCACCAGCUCCAAAGGCAGAGGAGGAAGAAGCUUUGGAGGAAGGUUCAACACUCAACCUAGGAGAUUGUUCUGCUUAUUCUGUGGGGAGGAUAAGGGACACACAACAAGGACGUGCCAAGUCACGAUCCAAAGCAAAAGGAGAUAGCUGAAGCCGAAGCAUGACAGAAUCAGCCGAAGUAAGUCUUGUAUACUUUCAUGUUAUUCGUCAUAUAUCCCUGAGUAUGUGGGCAACCAAACAACCCACGACAUUAGUUGCUUCAACAAGUCAAUCUCAACCUGCAUGGGCUCAGUUACUACCACCACCACCAUUGGCACCUACCUUGGUUCAUUAAUCAGUAGCCAGAAGGGCAUCGCCAAGUGCAACAACAACAUGACACUCGAGAGGAGUCUGAAGCUCGCACAAUCAACAACACAGGGCUUGACCAGAAAGUUCUGAGUUCAAUGUAUUUUUUACUUUUCUGUCUUUAUAUUUCCUUCCAAAAAGACAAUAUAAGGAGGUUUAACCUUCGUCUUGUUGUAAUAAAUCUGUGGUUACACCAUCGAGUGUACAAGAAGGGUGACAAAGCUCCAAAGUCGUUCGUAAGGGGAUGCGGAGCUAAAAUACCACCUAAGUAAAAGGUGAAGAAGCUCCAAAGUCUUCCUAAGGGGAUGUAGAACUAAAAUACACCUAAGUAAAAGGUGAAGAAGCUCUAAAGUCGUUCGUAAGGGGAUGCAGAGCUAAAAUACCACCUAAGUAAAAGGUGAAGAAGCUCCAAAGUCAUUCCUAGAGGAUGCAGAGCUAAAAUACCACCUAAGUAAAAGGUUGAAGAAGCUUCCAAAGUCGUUCCUAAGGGGGAUGCGGAGCUUAGCUCCAAAGUCAUUCCUAAGGGGAUGCAGAGCUGAAAUGCCACCUAAGUAAAAGGUGAAGCGACUCCAAAGUCGUUCCUAAGGGAAUACCGAGUCUUGGUUUUUCUCUGAUGAUUUAUGCAUAAAACAUCAUUUGCAUCAUACCAUCAUAUCAUAUUGCAUAGCAUCACGUCAUACAUCAUUUUGCAUCGACAAAACCAGUGGAGAAGAAGGAAAAUUGCUCCUUCAAAUAUACAUGUCGGCUCAUGAAAGAACGUACCAAUAACACAAGAUAUGCCUUUGGCAGAUACAUUCUUACAUAGGGAUGCUACCUUCGCCAACUGUAUUACUAUAAAACAGCCAUGACGUGAUAUUCAGUAUUGCCUCGGCAGAAGGGGAAUUUCUUUCUUCAUGAAGCGUGAAAAUAAGGGAAGGUGUUUAUUUCCCCAGCGGCUCAAAAACGGUAUGUACGAAGGUUUCAUGCAUCAUACAUAAAUAUAUUACAUUAACAUACAUACGAAUAUUUGAUAAUUGUUUCUUACAAAAAUGAAAGCAACGUACAAAGACCCUAAACUUUCAAAUACACAAAGCUUCAGUCUUCUUUUAAGACCUUUUCAGCAGCUUCUUCUAACAGUUUGUUGACAGCUUUGUCAACGGUUUCGUUAGCGAUUCUAAUUAUGUCGAGCGCCUCCUUCAGAGAUGGAUCAGCUUCAGGAUUGUAUGGCUUUGGAGGAGGAGAAAGCUCAGCUGCAUUAAAAUACAAAUAUCUGUAAGUACUGAAGCUACAAAAAUUUAUGAAGUUAAGCCAUAAAGGAUAUACCUAUAAGUCUGACGCGUUCAUCAGCUUCUUUAGCUCUUUUAGCCUCUUCUAAGGCGUCAUGAGACUCUUUCUCAUUUUUUCUAACAGCUUCAUCAGCUAUUUCUCGGCCACCCUUCAGCCAUACUUCGGAAUAAAACUUCCCACCUAGUGUAGUAGCUUUGGCUGAAGGGUUUUUAAUAUCGUUGGCUGAGAAGGAAAAUUCUGGCUGAGCAACAACCUUGGCAUGAUCACAACCGACCUUUUCUAGAAUUGACACGGCCCCACGGGCACCGGCAAAGGCGCAAAAAUCCCCUCUGUCACUAAGAAUCUCUUCAAAGGCUUCGGUCUUGCCGUUAAUCCACUGGAUAACUCCAUCGGAGUCACCGUAGAUGAAUUUCUGCUCUGAAGAAAAUGCACCAACUUUGGAAAAGCUGUUCUUCAAAUUCUUAGCGUAUUCCAUAGCCACAUCAUAGCAUUUUUCUUUAGUUGCAUGAAGCUCGUCAACAUUUCUUUGUGCCCUUGAUCGUUCGAUUUCAGAUAUUUCAUGUUUUGUCAGCUCCACAUUAAAAUUUCCAGUUGCUUCGGCAACUUUCUUUUCUAACUCUUGCAUUUCAGCUUUGUGCGCUUCUGCUUGAGCGGAUAGCUUAACUUCGCUGGAUUUCAGCCUUUCGACCAAAGAUAGCAAAAUCUUGUCUUUUGCGAGAGCUUCGUUUCUCAAGGUUAUAACCUCCGAUCGGAGGUUUCCAAGUGCCAUCCGAUAACUCUCGUCCUCUGCAUCCUUUUGAGCCUUCAGAGCCUUACUAAGGAUUAUACCCUACCAAACAAAAGAGCGAAUAAGCAAUAAAAGUAAGAAUUACCAAAAAUAGCUCGAAAAGUACCAAAUACGAAGCUAAAAUAUGCAAACCUUCAAGCUAUUGUAAGCGAGGCUGUCCGCAAGCUGGUCCUUUGUCAUAGCGGACAAACCAAGCUCAAGCUUCAGAAAUCCCAUAUUGUAUGUUCAUCAUUUCGCGGCAAACAUUAACCUCCUUACUGUUGGGUAUACAGUAGAGGAAGUCGUCUUCGUCAUCCCCUCCGUAUACCAAGGACCCUCGGGGGUAUUUCAAGUCCUUGGCAUAGUGUUCUACUUUGGCAAUUUGUUCUAAUGAUAACUGCUUUCCCGAAGCGUGUCAAACAAUGUAUUCCAAGUCACCAUGAGGAGGUGCUUCGGGAGUAGAAGAUUUAUAUUUUUCAGGAACACUCUCUUCCACCAGCCCUAUUGGCCCGGCUUCGGCAAGAACAUUAGUCGUGCUUGCAGUAAUUGCUUCUUCUACAUCUCCAGCUUUUUCACUAGAUGCUUUGGCAGAAACAGGAACUGGCACUUUCAUGGAUUCUAAAACAUCAUCUAAAACGCUAGCCAUUCUUCUCUUCAUAGGAGUUGCUGUUGCAGUACUCGAUGGCUUCGGCAGCCCUGUUACAGCUAGAGGGCUCAACACCUUUGGAUGUUCUACUGUCUUUUCUGAUUCUAGCUCUAUUAUCGGGCCUGUACUAGCUUCGAUCGACAUCACAUGAACUGUUUCUGUGGCUGAGGGGGCACUCUCUACACUUUCAAUAAGCUUCGGCACCUCGGCCGUCCCAAUAGGCUUCGACCUACGUGUCAAGACCUUGGCCCUCUUCGGCUUCGGCGAACCAAAAGAGGUUGAAGCAGCAACUUUGCUUUUCCCCCCUUGUCUUCAGACAGGAAAACAGUAAUCAGGGUAAACAAACCCAAUAACAUCGAAAACCCUGUUCAGCCUCCUUUUCCCUCGAGCACCGAAGGCAACUGUCAUGGCUUCGUUUUCUAUCUUCGAGUAGGCUCCAAGGAGCUCAUCACUCGUUGCCUCUAUAGCGUCUAGCCAAUCAUCAUUUGGCUCGUCAAAUUGAUUUCUGUACUGAAAGGUGUACUUAAGAUAAACUAAGCCACCCUGACUGGAGCCAGCGACAGCUUCAUUCGGCAUUUCCCAUUCAUUCACAAGAUGCCAUACUUUGAAAGCGAUGUGUUCUUGAACUAAAUCUCUGGUACCGAUGUAGGUACAUAUGGUGUUGAAAGCCAUUACACACGCUUGCACCUCAUUCCCAAUUACGAUUGAUGGCCUCCUAAUGCCAAAACGUGACCAUAUGAGACGCUGAAUGAUGCCACUCACAUCCUCCCUCUGAUUCAGAUCAUUCUUCAUGUAAAACCAUUGCUUCAUCCAAGAGCCCAACCACUUCUUUCGAAAUGUAGGCACAUGAUAAUUUGCCUCAGAGCGGGGUAUAAAGUUGUAACAGCCGAAGUUGUUAUGAUAUUGUUCUUUUCCGGUUGCCUUCGUCUAGUAAGAUAACUCAUGAAUAUUGCAGAAGCACCUAGCAUUCGGCUCUAGUCCCUGACUCCUCAUAGCCCAUAUAAAACCCCCCACUUUGAUAAGAGCUUCGAGGGUAAGUUGAUGAAGGUAUAUCUCGAAUGUCUUCAAAACCUCAACCAACAUCUUGUGGAGUGGAAAUCGAAGCCCAACUUUCAUGAAGCUCUUAAAGACCACCACCUUGUCAGCUUCGAUAAAGGGAAUGAUGCUUUACCCUCCGACUCUCACUAUAGAAACAUCAUGAAAUUAUUUGCCCUUCAUCGCUUCGAUUUGACCUUGUUUGACAGUUGACUUCCCAAAAACAACAUGGCUCAGCCUCCACAGCCGAUCUUCGACAUCUUCAUUCCCGCUCUCCACGUCAAAAUUGUCGCUAUCGCUGGAAUCUUCAGACAACCUAGCCAACAUCUCAUUGGUAAUCUUUUAUGUGUUGGUCUUCUACAUUGCUUCGUAAAAUCCGACCAUUGUGGGAUUUGUAAUCUUCUUGUCCUCAGCCAUUUGGGUGAUGGUUGCGGCAAAUGCCGAAGUUUAGAAAUCAAUCGAGCUCACAAAGAGAAAAAGGCUAAGAUAGCAAUCACAACACAAACAGCUAAAUGGCACGAAAAAUAUUCACGACAUAGGCUUCUAUAUAUACUAGGUGAGUGCCCGUGCGUUGCAACGGAAACAUAUAAUACUAUGAUAUUUUAUGUACAAAUGUCCAAUACAUUGCAACCAUCAGUAUCAUACAGACUUCUAUAUAUAACUAAUACAAUAUUCGUGUGUUGCGACGACACAUAAAUUAUUUGAGAGGGACCUGCUAUGGCUCGUAUGGGUCAAGAGCUAUAGUUGUUGCUAGGCACCGGUAAGGCGGCGAACGAUUAAGCAAUCGAGUGCAUAAGCACAAUUAAAAAAGGUGAUACCAUUGUGAAAGUUGCGAUGUGGUAAAUAAAUAAAAAUAUAUUCAUUCAAUAUUAGAAUCCUAGCAUCCACCUCGAGAGAAUUUAUAGACUUGUCCAGAGACAUCGCCCAUAAGGACCAAAUAAUUGACCAAGUCAAAAACUAUGUACAACUUUACUUUCAAAUAAAUUCCAACGCACUAUGUACAACUUUGCAGCGUGAAUGAAUUUCACCCGUUUUAAUAAUUAGUGUAAUCUAUCUAUAAACAAAUACACGUGGGAUUUUUCUGACAGAUCAAACAAUAAUAAACACGAGCAGCCCAUGAGGGCGUGACUCGACGAAGCAGAGAACUCACUACGUUUUAGCGACGAAAGAGAACGACGAUCGUCACAAGCAGCGUGAUGAUCGUGGAUGGGUGUCAGCUUUACUCCUUGAGGUGUUUAUUUAAAAAGAGCUGUUCUACAAUCUGAAAAAGAACAAAAACAAGUAUUAAAUACAAAAACAUUUAUUUAAAGAUACUAUUUAUGUAAGAACCAAAACAACAAAGCAUCUUUCCAUACGACAAUCCAAUACUUGUCACAUUAUCAGGGGGCAGCAUAUAGUGCUAUAAUGUUCAAACGAGAAUACCUGAAGACAGCCAACCAUCAGUAUAUUUGUCAGUCAAACUGUACUGAUCAUUGCAGACUUUGACCAUGUGUUCGUCUAGAACCUUUUCCAAACCCUGGAAGCACAAAAAUAACCCAAUUUAGCAAUCACGGGCAUCCCAUUGAUAUAAAAGUAUUGUCACAAAAGCAAUGGAAUGACAUAAGAACAAUACAAAAGCAACAGAAAGGUUCUCAUCUGAUGAUAAUGUUGCUCCAAAAAUAUUUUCAGUACAGAAUUUUUCUGAUCCGAUUACUUACCAUUACACACCAUGCUUAUAUAGUAGUAGGGAUAUAUAUUAUAUGGUCAAACCUGAAAUGGUUUCAGCAGCAAAAAUCCUAAAGCAUGUUAUGGUAAGAAAAAUAAAAACAAAAUAGUUCCUGAAGCAAGAACUGACAACCUACCUAAUGUGCAACUUUCUGCCCUGGAGAACAUACAUUACAUUCAUAUGGCCAGAUUUGAUAAUAUUGAAGAAGCCAAGUAAUCAAGGUAAACCAAAUAAUAACACAUUAAUAAAGCAUGAACAUAAUUACCCAGUAUUUACUCCAUACUGCUCUUGUAAUUUUUCCUCUGUAAAACUUAGGAGAUCACCAAUUGUCUCAACCCCAAGAUCAUCCUGCAAGGAACUUCCAAGCUUACCACCAAGUUGUUUCCUGAACAAUAUGGUUAUUCUCACUAUUCAGUUUCACAUGCAGAGUUCCAACUAAAGCACAAUGUUCUGUGAUCUAAUAGUGACACAAAGUCUCAAAAACUUUUCCCAGGAAAGCAAGAACCAUAAAGGACAGAGGCAUCUUGUUAGAGGUAGAUCAUUACAUCUUUUUCACAGGUAGUGAUGCUAGUAAGUCUUGAACUGAUGAAGAAGGGACAACUGUUUGCUGAGCAGGCUUGUACAUUCCACUGACAAGUUUAGCUAACAUCUGCACAGUAUAAGAACAAUGAGUGGAAAACUAAGAUAGCAAGAGAAAUGAAUAAAGGAAUGCAGAAAACAGAAAAACAGGAACCUUAGCUGAUUUUCUGAGCACAACAAAACUAACACGAUAAUAACCAUGGGCUACUGAACAUUUUUGUCAACAGAAAGAAAAGCAUCUACUCACUAUUACGACUCAUUAUAAACCUUAUUGUGAGCAAUCCCAGCAGAGCAUGUGAAUUGGGUUUCCUCCAGAACUCUGACUCGUAACUGUGCAACAAUUAUAGCUCCACAUGCCAGUAACUUGUCCUGGUAAUCAGCUUCUGAUUGACAAAGCCAUGCCCUCACAUUCUUUUCCUUCUCGCUGGCAUCCUGAAUAUAUCAUGGCCUAUGACCAUGCUACAUCAAAUAGCAGAGCAGUAACAAAUCUAACUGUGAGAGCGUUCUUACAGCCGGAAGGCCCAAGAUAUUUGACUUUGCCGCCUCCAUAAAAAUCCCCUCUGGUGAAUCUGGGGGAGCUUGUAAGAGCAUUUCCUUUGCUGCAUCAGUAAGGUCAAGAUAAACUUCGUCGAUGGAUGCCCGCUCGCACUUCCCUUUGCUUGCAAGGAUUGCAACAACCUGAAAGUUCAGGUGCAAAAUAUAGACUUAUUGUUCUAUAAUAAUAUGCCAUGUAAGUCCUGCGCAAUUAUAACUUGUAGUAAAUUAGUCAGCGAUGGUGAACCAACCUCAGCACCAGCACUUCUGUAAAGAUUAAGGUUAGCCUUGCCACGCGCCACUGGGACCUGAACAAGAUUAAUACCAGGACAGACCCUCUUGGCCUCAUCUCCGCGCAUGGACCUAAAUAAGCACAACCAUUUCGUCAGAAGUUACGACCUAAGCAAAUUCCAAUUAGACGGGACUGUUGACAAAGAAAGGAAGGGCACUCGCCUCUUCACACCAAAUCCACGAGCCUCGUAGCUGACGGCAAUCAAGCCGCCGCCUUUCCAGCCAUUGUACUGCACCACGACGGUUGGCUAUCCCCUGAGCGCCGGGUUCCUCCGCUGCUCGACUGCAGUAAAGCAGAUGAUCAAACUGAAAAGCACCAAAAGGAGGGUAGUUAAAAGUAAUAGUGAUGUUUUUUGGCUAGGAUAUGGUCAAAAAAACAGCAUGAAUUUCAGGGUCAGCCACAUCACUGUUGUCAUAUAGGGAUGAGGUACAUAUGGAGUUCAUUUGUGUGGGCAUGUGUUUAAUAAAAUAUCAUCUCUCUGGUGGUGUUUUCUUUUGGAGCUCAUUAAGAUAUGUCUUCUGCUCUUUGUGAGCCCAGGAAAAAACAAUUAAAUAUAGAGUAAAAUUCAAUGGAAAUGCCUAACCAGUGUGAGAAAUGUCAGCUCCUACUUUCUCUCUGGUAUUCUCAAGGCAUUUGUGUUAGAGGCUUCAGUUAGCAGUGGCUUCAGUUAGUAGGUAGUAGUGGCUAAGCAGUAGCAGUUUCAGUUAGUAGUGGAGCUAUCAUAUAAUUAAGCAAAGAUGGAGAGGACAGCUGUUUUAGUGUUCUUGGAUCCGUUCGCAUAAUUCAGAUAAUGGAAAGAACCUGUAAAAAAGAGGGCAUGAUCUAAGCAGCCUUUGUCAAAUUCAAAUAAUGGAAAGGAAAGGAGGGGUUAUCUGUAAUUGCACAAUUCAAUAACUGAGUGUGAUGCAUUCUAAUUCAAAAAAGGAGGGAUUAUACACCAGAUUGAAAUGAGCUUGCUCAAAUGAAGACCUGGCACCGUGAAGCUCCUGAUUGAGCUAAAAGAUAAAAAGGGUUAUGAAGUCGUCACCUUCGGAUUAAAGGAUCUGGGCAGUUUUCUUCCCUUCUAAUUCAAGGACUUGGGCUUGUUUCUUCCCUUCUGAUUCAAGGACUUGGGCACAUAUUCUCCUUUCUACUUCAGCCUGCAUCUCCAUAGCCUGCCUAAUCCCUGUUGGAGGAGUUAUGUCCCCUGCAUUGCCAAAAUAAAAAAUAAAUAAAAAACAUUAGAAGCAAACCAUAUAUUAUAACUCAAAUUAUUAAACACGAAAAAGCAACACAUUGAUCUCAUAGUGGAUACACUUCAUGCCCAAUCUGUGGCUGCCAUUGAUGGCACUCCUUUUUAUCUCUGCAGAUGUGUGUUCACAACCUGAAAGAAAACAUGUUAUGUAGUGACACAAACAUGCAAAGCAUAGAGUUUGAGAGAUUGAACCAUCAACCAACAUAAUUCACACAUCCAAUUUAGUGCGUCCUAUUGACAACGCAUGGUGCUUUUUAUAAUGUCCCCAUUUCCCUAUUCUUUAUGCCAUUUGGGAGUUGAUAUUUGUUAAUACAUACAAAACCAAUUACGACACUACCUAUAUGUGUGUGCCAAGUUUCCUAAAUCAUGCAAAACCAAGAUAAAUCAGCUACAACUACUAUUGGUGCAACCUUUCAACUGUGCUGUUACAGCUUUCUUGAAGCCAUCUAAUGUGGUAACCUUGAUAUACAUAGACUCUUACAGUAUGGCCAAAUAAACAUAAACUAAAGAGCUCAGAUGCUAGGCAACUAUAGAACACCGUCUAAACGACGCUAUUAUGUGCAAGCACGCUAUGUGUGAAAUAGAUGGAGUAAUUUUCUUUAGCUUCUACUAAACUCUGUCAUGCUCUCGAUCACUUUUAGUUUUAGAGAAGAGAGUACAAACAUGCCAUAUAGGGAUUUUCUUUAGCAGUCGCCAAUCAGUUAUGUACGUACUUCAUGAACACACCAUUUUCUAGCAAAUCCUUUAUCUCACAAAACCCUCUAUAAAAAUUGAUUUGAAGUUGGAAACGAAGUACCAAAGAGCAACUCGGUAAGAUCAUAAAACUUUUUCAAGCACUGAAAAAUUGCUGCAGCCAUGUCCCAGUCAUCAUCAGAUGGAGAAAUUUUCCUAUCUGGGAAUGUGAGGUAACGACAGAAGGGGUUUACCAAGUACGUUAGCUUCAUUAGUUGUUAGACAUCGAUAUGUCCAUGUCUCGAUGAAAAUCCAACUAACAACGUAUAACAAGUAGAUGGUAAUGUGAAAAACUGGAAUUUGUAGAAAAUCCAAAUGCAUUUCUGACCAAACAAAGCUCAAAUAGACAUUGAUUCCUAAAAGGAAAAUCAGAAUUCUUCUAGUUCCAGACUAUGGGGUAGGACUCUACCUAGCAAGAAGAGACAGUGCAAGUGCAAAAGUACUAGUAUCCUGUACAAUGCUGCUUAGUUUAGCCUAUUACAUAGAGGCAUGCAAGUGCAAGAUCAACAAUGUCUGUAUUAGUCUGUUUCUCAACAAUGUUUGUAUAAGUCAAGAAGUAUUCAAGGCAAGGCAAACCUUCUUCUCUGAGAGUAUCUUUGGUUGCUUGCAAAUGUCUAGUGUAUUUGGAAGGUCCAUAUAAAUCCCUUUGAAGAGCAUGCAAAUAUAGGAUAGAAAGCUUGGUUAGAAACAAUAUUUAUCCACGCUGAAAAAUCAGUUAUCUUCUAACUCAGUUCAACUUACCAUUUCUUCUUGUAGCUAGGAUAGCCAAUUCAUUGAAAAUACAUCCAUGGACCAGGGGUGGAUGGCGCACAUCCGAGGAUCAAAAUAGGGAUUGCAAUUUCUAAAGUGGGGGGAUCGUUUUACCUGUGCCCUACUGUUGUCGCUGGCUGCUUCUGCCCACCUGCACGGUACCCCCUGUUGGCUGUUGGCGUGCAGCACUCGGUGGCCAAUGCUUCACGCCGGCAACCUCCACCGAAACCCUAGCAGCAGCCCACGCCUCCAAGUCCCUAAUCACCGAUCCGGCCUCCAGGGGAUCGCCUGCUGCCCACCGACAGUAGAUUUGGUCGCUGUGCCAGUCGAUUCAGUCAUCGACCCGGUAGAUUUGGCUGCUCCGGCCGUCGAUCGCACGUCACGGCUGGGGGCGGCUUUGAUGGGUGGCAGCGGCUGGCACGGUGUGGGCGAGCUGGGCGCGUGUGGCGUCCGCGCAUCGCCUGUCACGGCAAGCAAAUGCAGGGGUCACGGGGAACUCGCGGCGGGGGCUGCAGGACGGGGAGCGCGACGUCCAUGUGGCACAUGUCGCGGCAGGGAGAGGCAGGUGUCGCGGAGAAAGCGUGGCGGGGGUGGGUGCGCGUGGAUCCACGGAUCGCAUUUAUGGUGGAUAGGCGGAUCCGCGGCAUCCGGAUCUACGACAUCCGGAUCUGCGACGCAGGCAGUGCGCGUUGAUAGCGAGGAGCAGAGGGGAGGAGGCUGGGGAUCCGUGGAGCGACGCGACUGUAGGUGUUGAUGGCGGCGUGCAGAGGGGGAGGAGGGUGCGGUGCGUGCGCCAUGGAUGGAAUGCUGGGGGAGGCGCGGUUUCUGGGGGACAGGAUUUCACCGUGGCGACGCCAUGGAUGGAAGGGGCACCUGAGGGAGGCACGUUUUACGAAUGGAAGGCCAUGGAUGGAAGUGGGCGUGCGCGUUGAUGGCAGGCGGGCGCAGCGCGUGGGGAAGACGAGCGCGGCGGGCGGGAUGCAGAACGGCAGAACCGUAGGCAAUGUGGACGCCUACAAUAGACGCUUAAUAGAUAGUAGAGAUAAGUAGUAGAGAUACUAUACUUCUAUCACAAGGAAUCUUUAGGCAAAAAAUGCUACAAAUUAAUAAAAAAAACUUUGCUCCAUCACAGGUAAUCUAGGGAUCUUAGAUAAGAUGAGCAAAGGGGAAACAAGUAUGUUACUCUAUGGUCAAUGUUGACAAAAACAUUCAUUGUAAUUAAUUAAAAGAAGAUGAAGAUCUGAUGUAUGAUUGAUCACGGAUCUAUUGCACAAUGGACCAGUUGUACCAUGGACAUUUAGAGUCUAAGGUGACAAGCCACAAACCUCUGAUAUAUGACGGAUCAUAGAUAUGCCUCAAGAAAUAAUGGUCACAUGUACCAGUAUCAUAGUUGUCCUCAAAUAUGAGAUGCCUGAAUCCAGCCUUUAGCGCUUGCUUUAACCUAUUCAUAGUAUGUUUAAACAAAAGUAUUAAUAAAAAAUAAUUGUUUGAUUUCUCGUCACUUUCAUGCUUAGGAUUGGUGACAAAAAGAGCGUAAUCAAACACAAAAAACCAUGAUACAUUGAAUCAGAAUUAUAGUUUAGCACGAUCAAGAUAAAAACAAACAGAAAAGGUCUAUGGAUAGAUUUUACCUUUUCAACUCACUUUGGUGGUCAUCAAAGAAAAUGAGCACCUUUUCAGAAUCAGAAAUGCCAUGAUUUCUCAAUAGUCUUCCCCAAUCAAUGCUUCCAAAAUCAACAAAAUCCUUCCCAUCGAGGUAAGUGCAGUUUCUAUCAAAUAUGCAGGUCCCUUCUUAAGAUAUUUCUCAGGGUGCGUAGGAGAGUGAUAUAAUCCUAGUAAUUGGCAUGGCCUUCCGCAGAACCCAAGUAGAGUGCCCCUUGAAAGCACCACCACUCUCAAUCAUCAAAUCUGGUUUAAGCCAGCGAGCCAUAAACCAAAGCCCAAAAUUGUGGUCAAAACCCAUUCCAUUUAAGUUAUUCUUAAUGGGGUUUGUCUCAUAUAUUGGUACGAAUUCUUCCAGUCCAUAUAGUCUUCCAUGUUUUUGAUCUGCCUUUUGUGACGGAGAAAAGGGAUAAGAUAUGGCAUCCCAUAUAAUGUAAAGAAUAAACUGACACCAAGGAAAUUAUGGGUCGCAUCAUCAAAACAAAAAAACUCACUUCGAAAUCCACAACACCUACAAUUAACUAACAUAAAUAACUGUUCAAUACAUCCAACAAGCCUAUUCCAAAAGGAAUACCAAGGAAGUGGCAAUAGUUAUUGCCCUUAUGUUUCUUUGUCUUUAUGUUCAAUGAUACGUCCGGAGGAGAAGCAUAAAAAGAAGCAGGUGAGAGAGAGUAAAAUAGGAACGUAUGCAAGUGCACCGUACAAAAACAUACAAUGUUUACAAUGAUCAGGAUACAAAUAGUAGCUAGCAAUUUACAUAAGAAUAGAAUACAACGGAACUAAACAUUAGCAGCAUGCACUGCCCCCAUAUUUCCUGUCUUGCUCCACAACCAACUAUCCCAGACCACCCAUGCACAUCACAACAUGUCAAUAAUUUCUUUAAAAAUAGAUUCAAAUAUCUAUCUAAUGAUACUAAUUAUAUAUUAUAAAAUAUUAAUAUUUUCAUGGUAGAGAAAUGGAACCAUAAGUGUUACCAAAACUCUUUUUUUAUUUGUGGGAUAAUUGUGCUCUCUACCAAAACCAUGCUCUUAGACUACUAAUAUAAAAUAACAAUAUGGGAAUCUUAUGGGAUCAAAUAAAAGUUAGUCACCAAAUCUACAUGGACCACAAAAUGACAAAGUGUGUUUAUUGUCCAUACCAAUCAGGCCCACUGCCCCACUCUAUUGAAACCCUACCCUGCGAGGGAAUAUAUAAAGCUCAGCGAAAUCUAUGUUCCCAGAAAACCAUGAAGGUGAACUGAACUGUUCUCACACUCCACACCUACAACUUGUGACAUCGUAAUCAAUAGAUAUUGUGAUAUCGUAAUCAAUAGGUAUUGUAGUAUUCUAAUGGAUUUAUAUUUCAUUUUCCUAGCUACAAAUCCUCAACUAACUCACAAAAACAGGAACUUCUAACUCCAGAAACUAUUGUCCAACAAAAUACCUUCCAAAUAGGUCGUCAUACUCAUGAAUCAAUCAAUUGUACUUACUUUACCAUACAAAAAAGAGCAACUAAUCCAAGAAAUAAUUUGUGCAAGUGCAAGCUGCAUAUCAUUGGCAUUGGAGUAAUCCUGGAUUCCUGGACCAUCUAUUGUGGAGAAAUAUUGUGCCCAUACGGUAAGCAUAUUUUAGUGGAAAUGGGGUUUGGAACUAAACAGAUUUAUAAGCUAUCAGAGUCGAGAAGAGGGAAAAUUGCUAUGAGAAAAAAAGGAAAAGGAAAUACAUAAUUUUAGAUCUUCGGUAGAAGCUAAUCAUUUAAGCUUGAUUGCUUAAAAAUAAAGAAAAUCAAUUAACCAAAUUAGCACAACGCACGCAAAGGUUAGAUGAUGAGAUCACUAAAAAUAGCACCUCCUUGCACACAAGGCAAACACUUUAGCCGAGCUAAUCAUUUAACCUUGAGUUGCUUGCUUCUGAAACAUCUUACAAUUUGACAUGCUUCACUGUUCGUGCAUGCAGAGAACAAGGAAUCAAUAGAAUUUGGCGGCAAACCAAGUGCUGCUUACUGGAUAAUUAAAGACAUUCUUUCCCACUAAAACAUAAUCAGGUAGUCAGAGAAAUAAUGAAGUCAUACCAUAUAUUGCUCCCAGUGUAGCAAUCCAAUCCGAUAAUCUUAGAAAGUGAUAGCUGUAAAGCAGAAAACGAUGUGUGACCGAUCUAUCUGUUCACAUGCCAAAUUGAGAACGGGAGUGGGGUCACGUCAGGAAUCAGGUUGGUAAUACGUUGAGUAGGUGGCGAGUGGGAGAGUUUUGAAGCAUCGACGGUGGAAACAUGGCAAGGGUUGGGCGGUGUACGGUGUACCUCCAUGGUGUGUUUCAAGCGACUGUACUUCCGAAGCUCCCUGACGACGUGAUUGAGCUGAUAGUUCUGCACUGUGCGGCCCUCCUCCGCCCAUCGCCGCAGCACCACCACCACGCUACGCUUCGGGUAGAUGAGCUUCAGCAGGCGCUGCCCUGGUGUGUCCCCACUCCCCGUAGUGCCGCCCGCGUGACCGCCUCGGGCUGAGGAGUAAUGGCGCUGGUCAGCCGUGGGGAUGAGAGCUCGCCGGCCGGGAAACGGAGGCUCGCCGGCCGGGAUGAGAGCGGCCACGCGAGAGCCGCCGCGCCAGAGCCGCGCGACCGACGGAGAGCCUGCGUGCGGGCGUCUCUAGGUUUUUUUGCUAAAUAGGCCGUAUACACUUGAAUUGAUAGAUGGGCCUCAAAUAGGCCAGCCAAAUAAAUUCCAUCUUCUCUACCGCGGCGCAAAUAAAUGGUACCAUAUCGGCCAGCAAAAGAGAGCGGUAGCAACUUAUAAACGUGCCUGCUAUGGAGAAAGCAAUCAGCUCUUGUAAUCAGUUAGUGGUAUUGUGAACAUGUGUCAAAUUUUUGCGCGCGCGGAUGGACGAUCCAGAUUGAACAACAGCGAUGCAGAUGGACGAUCCAGAUUGAACAACAGCGAUGGACGCUCCAGAUUGAACGAAGGCAGAACGGCAGGCUACCCUUAGAGCCUUAAUAAGUAGUAGAGAUACUCAGAGCUCCACCGCUCGGUGGGACCCACAGUUCAGAAUGAUUCGCUAUUCUAGCGAAGAGAAGGUGUUUUUUCUGACCUUCGGCUAAUGGCCUUCAUUCACAUCACAGUUUGAAUUUGUUACAAAGAAACAAAUUAAUAUUGCGUGUGGCUACUGUUGGGGCCUUCCUCUUCCGAAGGUCCUAAAAAACAUGACUAACCACAUGUUUUCAGCAUGAUAUGGAUUAUUACAGGGAGCUUUGGCUUCAGGACGAAAGUUUUCUCCCAUGGCAAAGACAUACGAGGUAAAGAUAUAAUCCAAAGACGAUAAGAAUGAACGCCGAAGCUAUAGCCGAAGAGUAAUAACUUCGGCUUAAAAUGGUGAUGAAGGCUAAACAUGAUGCUGACAGGAAUGGAAAAGGACCAGCUAGUCCUUAAUGAUUUAUGUUAUGGUCAUAAGUAAGUGUCAGGGACAUAAAUGUACUUUUACUCGGGCUACGUCCCGUGCCUAUAAAUAGAUGAACAGUAGCACCGUACUGUUCAGGUUGGAUUGUAAUCACUCUCGCAUCAAGACCUUCAAACAAGCCGAAGGUAUCAAUGUAAUAACAACUUUGUUAAUGUUAAUGUUAAUGUUAAUAUUAUGAAAUAUAAAUGUGAAAAAACCAAUGAAUUACAUUCAUUAUCGUUAUGUAUUCUUAUCUAUCCAUGAAAUGAUGAAUGCAUGUCCUUCAUGACCUUCGUCUGAUGAUCAUUAUAUCCGAAAUGAGGUAAUGCUUCAGAGGACGAAGGUCCUUAAUACUUAAUAAUUGUGCUGUAUUGUUCUUGAUUCACAACAUUUAACAACAAGUGACCAACAGGUAUAGGGCUUCGGGCUCGGGUUUUAUGCCCAGCUCUAAAGGCUGCCACACAACCCUUCACUACAAAGCACUACGCUGUGCUUUGGUGGAUAGUAUAAAAUACAAGACACAAAACUGUCGAUGACACUCUUAACAUUAUUAUAUAGUUAAGUUUGAAAUAAUAAAUAAGAUAGAGUAUGUGUUGGAGAUAGUGCUAGACGAAAUGCUCGUGGCUCGUUGGCUCGCUCAGUUCAUGGUCAGCUCGGCUCGGCUCGGAUCGGCUUGUUUGAAUUUUUUCACGAGUUGAGCUCACAUCCUAGCUCGGUUCGUUAACGAGCCAUCUCGGUUCGUUAACCAACCAGCUCGCGAGCUAAACGAGCUACCAUAUUCCAGCAAAACAAAACUAUAUGUAUAUCAUUUAUGGAAUAAUUGAUGAACAUGUUAUAUGUAUGUGAGGUGUCUAUGUCCUAUGAGUUAAACUAAUGAUUAAUGAACUAUGUCUAUGUGUUAAAUUGGUCUAUGUAAAUAUAAUUGUAGGUUAAACUGAUGAACAUGUAUGUGACUUGUGAAUUGAUGAGUAAUGAAUUGUGCUAGUUUGGUGUUACAUUGACGUGGUUUGUGAAACUAUGAGUAUAAUUACUAUUUUUUAUUGUUAAAUUAGUUUGAAAUUAAAUAAAAAUAAUUAUUAUGUACAUAUUAUUUUUUAUGUCUGGCUCGCGAGCUAAAUGAGCCAGGUCGAGCUCGUAAACGAGCUGAGCCGAGUUGACUCUAUGGCUAGUUAGCUUAACGAGUCGAGUCGAGCUGGCUCAUUAGCUUAACGAGCCACCUCGAACUCGGACGAGCCAAGACGAUCUGGCUCGUUAUCCAGCCCUAGCUGGAGAUGACUUAGGAUGUGUUUGGUUUAAGGUGAAAGUAGGAUAAGACAGGAUCAAUGUCGCCCCCUCGAUUUUUUUAGAUCACGCCGCCACAAAAAAAUUUCUGCGAUGUUCACACCAUUUCUGCAUAACUAUCAUCUAAACACACCACUUCACAAGUUCGUGUGUGUGGAGACUGAGGCUGAACUUCAGCUAAACGUCUUCGGUCACUCGUGCUGGUCGCGCGGCGAUCUACGCCUCUCCGUCCUCCAAACGAAACCCUAACCCGCGCAUCCAACCUCCAUCCAUCCUCCGAGCCCCAAACUCCAAACCCUAGACCCCUCCCCCUGCCUUCGCGGCCGAUGGGCGCAGAUGAGCAGCCAUCUCCGACGCGGAAACGCGACCGCGAGGAAGGGGAGGACCUCUCCGACGGGGGCGCCGCCGAGAAGCGGCCGCGCGCCGAGGUCGCGUCCCUGCUGGGGCUGGCCACCUACGAGGACGAGGAGGAAGACGAAGCGGCCAGGGGUCACACGAAUGGCCGACACGCGGUGGAGCCUGAGCUAGAGGACGACGAGGAUGAUGAUGAUGAG